CUAAUAUGUGCUUUUGUGCUGAUCUUGUGCAAACUUCUUAAGCCUGCGCACCUGCUUUCUCAUGUCCUGUCGGUGGAAAUCAUGGAGCCUCGGGGGGGGCAGGCUGGGUGUUCCAUCUUUGCAGGACAUCCUUUGUGUGGCCCAGCCGUGAGACGCUGCCUCACUGGGGAAGGUGUUUCUGCAUUAGAGAAAACAGACCAUCGAUGGCCAGCAAAUGAUGUUUCCUGUGGACACACUAGGUACUUGAUAUCUGUAAUCACUGUUUGUUGUGGGGUCUACUGGUGACUUCAGGAUCACGAAUAUGUGUGGAGUGAGCGUGGAAUGAGCUAAGGCCACACUUGUCGCUGAUCCUGAGAUGAAUUCUGCACCAUUGGUGUGUAGGCACACCCAC
rnacentral:lncRNA from 1 species